rnacentral:tRNA from 1 species
GGGGCCUUAGCUCAGCUGGCAGAGCGCCUGCUUUGCAAGCAGGAAGUCAGGGGUUCGAAUCCCCUAGGCUCCACCG